rnacentral:rRNA from 1 species
UAAAGAAAGUAAGAAAGGGCGUAUGGCGGAUGCCUAGGCUCACGGAGGCGAUGAAGGACGUGAUAAGCUGCGAUAAGCUUCGGGUAGGUGCAAAUAACCCUUGAUCCGAAGAUUUCCGAAUGGGACAACCUAGCCGUCUGAAGGACGGUUACUCUUACCAAUGUAAGAGAGCUAACGCAGGGAACUGAAACAUCUUAGUACCUGUAGGAAGAGAAAAUAAAUGAAUGAUUCCCCCAGUAGUGGCGAGCGAACGGGGAACAGCCCAAACCGUUGACGUCGCAAGGCGCCAGCGGGGUUGUAGGACCGCGACAUUGUACUGAAAUGGUGAGUGGAAGUAUCUGGAAAGUUACAUCACAGAAGGUGAUAAUCCUGUACACGAAGCCAGAUCAGACAUAGCGGUAUCCUGAGUAACGCGGGACACGAGGAAUCCUGCGCGAAUCUGCCGGGACCAUCCGGUAAGGCUAAAUACUCCCGUGAGACCGAUAGCGAACGAGUACUGU